rnacentral:rRNA from 1 species
AACUAUAACGGUCCUAAGGUAGCGAAAUUCCUUGUCGGGUAAGUUCCGACCCGCACGAAAGGCGUAACGAUUUGGGCACUGUCUCAACGAGAGACUCGGUGAAAUCAUAGUACCUGUGAAGAUGCAGGUUACCCGCGACAGGACGGAAAGACCCCGUGGAGCUUUACUGUAGCCUGAUAUUGAAAUUCGGCACAGCUUGUACAGGAUAGGUAGGAGCCUUUGAAACGUGAGCGCUAGCUUACGUGGAGGCGCUGGUGGGAUACUACCCUAGCUGUGUUGGCUUUCUAACCCGCACCACUUAUCGUGGUGGGAGACAGUGUCAGGCGGGCAGUUUGACUGGGGCGGUCGCCUCCUAAAAGGUAACGGAGGCGCUCAAAGGUUCCCUCAGAAUGGUUGGAAAUCAUUCAUAGAGUGUAAAGGCAUAAGGGAGCUUGACUGCGAGACCUACAAGUCGAGCAGGGUCGAAAGACGGACUUAGUGAUCCGGUGGUUCCGCAUGGAAGGGCCAUCGCUCAACGGAUAAAAGCUACCCCGGGGAUAACAGGCUUAUCUCCCCCAAGAGUUCACAUCGACGGGGAGGUUUGGCACCUCGAUGUCGGCUCAUCGCAUCCUGGGGCUGUAGUCGGUCCCAAGGGUUGGGCUGUUCGCCCAUUAAAGCGGUACGCGAGCUGGGUUCAGAACGUCGUGAGACAGUUCGGUCCCUAUCCGUCGUGGGCGUAGGAAAUUUGAGAGGAGCUGUCCUUAGUACGAGAGGACCGGGAUGGACAUACCUCUGGUGUACCAGUUGUCGUGCCAACGGCAUAGCUGGGUAGCUAUGUGUGGACGGGAUAAGUGCUGAAAGCAUCUAAGCAUGAAGCCCCCCUCAAGAUGAGAUUUCCC